rnacentral:rRNA from 1 species
UAUUAUUAUACAUGUAAAUUUGAUUGGUUUAAGUAUUAAAAGUUAAGUUCUUGAAAUUUAAAGAAAUUGACGGUAUUUUAGUCUUUUCAGAGGAAUCUGUACUGUAAUUGAUAAUACACGAAUUGGUGAACUUUAUAGAUUUAGUUUGUAUAUCGUUGUCGUAAAUUUAUCUUGGGAGGGUUUAUUUUUAAUAAAAAUUAUUAUUUUGGAUGUCAAAUCAAGAUGCAGCAGAAUAGUAAAGUAGAUAUGGAUUACAAUUUAAUGGUAAACGGAAAAGUGAAUUUGAAAAGAUUUUUGAAGAUGGAUUUGAUUGUAAAUUUAUAUUAUUUGUAUAUUGAUUUAAGCUCUAAAAUAUGUACAUAUCGCCCGUCGCUCCUAUUAUAAAAUUGG